rnacentral:rRNA from 1 species
CAGUCGCCGCGGGAACACGUAGGGUGCGAGCGUUAAUCGGAAUUACUGGGCGUAAAGCGUGCGCAGGCGGUUCGUUAAGACAGAUGUGAAAUCCCCGGGCUUAACCUGGGAACUGCAUUUGUGACUGGCGAGCUAGAGUAUGGCAGAGGGGGGUAGAAUUCCACGUGUAGCAGUGAAAUGCGUAGAGAUGUGGAGGAAUACCGAUGGCGAAGGCAGCCCCCUGGGCCAAUACUGACGCUCAUGCACGAAAGCGUGGGGAGCAAACAGGAUUAGAUACCCGUGUAGUCCCUGUCUCUUAUAC